rnacentral:rRNA from 1 species
AACGAACGCUGGCGGCAGGCUUAACACAUGCAAGUCGAGCGCCCCGCAAGGGGAGCGGCAGACGGGUGAGUAACGCGUGGGAAUCUACCCAUCUCUACGGAACAACUCCGGGAAACUGGAGCUAAUACCGUAUACGUCCUUCGGGAGGAAGAUUUAUCGGAGAUGGAUGAGCCCGCGUUGGAUUAGCUAGUUGGUGGGGUAAUGGCCUACCAAGGCGACGAUCCAUAGCUGGUCUGAGAGGAUGAUCAGCCACACUGGGACUGAGACACGGCCCAGACUCCUACGGGAGGCAGCAGUGGGGAAUAUUGGACAAUGGGCGAAAGCCUGAUCCGGCCAUGCCGCGUGAGUGAUGAAGGCCCUAGGGUUGUAAAGCUCUUUCACCGGUGAAGAUAAUGACGGUAACCGGAGAAGAAGCCCCGGCUAACUUCGUGUCAGCCGCCGCCGUAA